rnacentral:misc_RNA from 1 species
GAUGAAGAACGUAGCGAAAUGCGAUAAGUAAUGUGAAUUGCAGAAUUCAGUGAAUCAUCGAAUCUUUGAACGCACAUUGCGCCCGCCAGUAUUCUGGCGGGCAUGCCUGUUCGAGCGUCAUUUCAACCAUCAAGCCCCCGGCUUGUGUUGGGGACCUGCGGCUGCCGCAGGCCCUGAAAAGCAGUGGCGGGCUCGCUGUCACACCGAGCGUAGUAGAUCUCAUCUCGCUCAGGGCGUGCUGCGGGUUCCGGCCGGCAAACCACCUUCAUAACCCAAGGUUGACCUCGGAUCAGGUAGGAAGACCCGCUGAACUUAAGCAUAUCAAUAAGCGGAGGA